rnacentral:rRNA from 1 species
UACGUAUGGAGCAAGCGUUAUCCGGAUUUACUGGGUGUAAAGGAUGCGUAGGUGGCAGUGCAAGUCAGAUGUGAAAGGCCGGGGCUCAACCCCGGAGCUGCAUUUGAAACUGCAUAGCUAGAGUACAGGAGAGGCAGGCGGAAUUCCUAGUGUAGCGGUGAAAUGCGUAGAUAUUAGGAGGAACACCAGUGGCGAAGGCGGCCUGCUGGACUGUUACUGACACUGAGGCACGAAAGCGUGGGGAGCAAACAGG